AAGCCCGGGGCUCAACCUCGGAACCGCAUUUGAAACUGGCAGGCUAGAGUCUUGUAGAGGGGGGUAGAAUUUCAGGUGUAGCGGUGAAAUGCGUAGAGAUCUGAAGGAAUACCAGUGGCGAAGGCGGCCCCCUGGACAAAGACUGACGCUCAGAUGCGAAAGCGUGGGUAGCAAACAGGAUUAGAUACCCUGGUAGUCCACGCCGUAAACGCUGUCUACUUGGAGGUUGAGGUUUAGACUUUGGCUUUCGGCGCUAACGCAUUAAGUAGACCGCCUGGGGAGUACGGCCGCAAGGUUAAAACUCAAAUGAAUUGACGGGGGCCCGCACAAGCGGUGGAGCAUGUGGUUCAAUUCGAUGCAACGCGAAGAACCUUACCUACUCUUGACAUCCAGAGAACUUUCCAGAGAUGGAUUGGUGCCUUCGGGAACUCUGAGACAGGUGCUGCAUGGCUGUCGUCAGCUCGUGUUGUGAAAUGUUGGGUUAAGUCCCGCAACGAGCGCAACCCUUAUCCUUGUUUGCCAGCACGUAAUGGUGGGAACUCCAGGGAGACUGCCGGUGAUAAACCGGAGGAAGGUGGGGACGACGUCAAGUCAUCAUGGCCCUUACGAGUAGGGCUACACACGUGCUACAAUGGCAGAUACAGAGGGCAGCGAAGCUGCGAAGUGGAGCGAAUCCCUUAAAGUUUGUCGUAGUCCGGAUUGGAGUCUGCAACUCGACUCCAUGAAGUCGGAA
rnacentral:rRNA from 1 species